rnacentral:rRNA from 1 species
CGGAGGUGGCGAGCGUUGUCCGAAGUUACUGGGCGUAAAGCGCGCGUAGGCGGGUUGUUAAGUGAGGGGUGAAAGGCUGAGGCUCAACCUCAUGUUUGUCCUCUCAUACUGGCAGUCUUGAGUGAGGCAGGGAGAAGUGGAAUGGCUGGUGUAGCGGUGAAAUGCGUAGAUAUCAGUCGGAACACCGGUGGCGAAGGCGGCUUCUUGGGCCUUUACUGACGCUGAGGCGCGAAAGCUGGGGGAGCGAACGGGAUUAGAUACCCCGGUAGUCCCAGCCGUAAACGAUGGACACUAGGUGUCGGGGGUAUCGACCCCUCCGGUGCCGCAGCUAACGCAUUAAGUGUCCCGCCUGGGAGUACGGCCGCAAGGUUG